UACGUAGGUGGCAAGCGUUGUCCGGAUUUACUGGGCGUAAAGCGUGCGCAGGCGGUUGUGCAAGACAGAUGUGAAAUCCCCGGGCUCAACCUGGGAACUGCAUUUGUGACUGCACGGCUGGAGUGCGGCAGAGGGGGAUGGAAUUCCGCGUGUAGCAGUGAAAUGCGUAGAUAUGCGGAGGAACACCGAUGGCGAAGGCAAUCCCCUGGGCCUGCACUGACGCUCAUGCACGAAAGCGUGGGGAGCAAACAGG
rnacentral:rRNA from 1 species